rnacentral:rRNA from 1 species
AACGAACGCUGGCGGCAGGCCUAACACAUGCAAGUCGAACGCACCGCAAGGUGAGUGGCGCACGGGUGAGUAACACGUGGGAAUGUACCCUUUGGUUCGGAAUAACGUUUGGAAACGAACGCUAAUACCGGAUGAGCCCUACGGGGGAAAGAUUUAUCGCCAAAGGAGCAGCCCGCGUCUGAUUAGCUAGUUGGUGGGGUAAAGGCCUACCAAGGCGACGAUCAGUAGCUGGUCUGAGAGGAUGAUCAGCCACACUGGGACUGAGACACGGCCCAGACUCCUACGGGAGGCAGCAGUGGGGAAUAUUGGACAAUGGGCGGAAGCCUGAUCCAGCCAUGCCGCGUGAGUGAUGAAGGCCUUCGGGUUGUAAAGCUCUUUCGCACACGACGAUGAUGACGGUAGUGUGAGAAGAAGCCCCGGCUAACUUCGUGCCAGCAGCCGCCGUAACAC